AGCGAACGCUGGCGGCAGGCCUAACACAUGCAAGUCGAGCGCCCAGCAAUGGGAGCGGCAGACGGGAGAGUAACACGUGGGAACGUACCCUUCAGUUCGGAACAACCCAGGGAAACUUGGGCUAAUACCGAAUACGUCCGUAAGGAGAAAGAUUUAUCGCUGAAGGAUCGGCCCGCGUCUGAUUAGCUAGUUGGUGAGGUAACGGCUCACCAAGGCGACGAUCAGUAGCUGGUCGAGAGGAUGAUCAGCCUCACUGGGACUGAGACACGGCCCAGACUCCUACGGGAGGCAGCAGUGGGGAAUAUUGGACAAUGGGCGCAAGCCUGAUCCAGCCAUGCCGCGUGGAUGAUGAAGGCCCUAGGGUUGUAAAGUCCUUUGACGGGGAAGAUAAUGACGGUACCCGUAGAAGAAGCCCCGGCUAAC
rnacentral:rRNA from 1 species